rnacentral:misc_RNA from 1 species
CGCACACUCCGGCACACUCACGCAAACGGAAAACAUACACACGUAUAUAUAUAUAUAUACUCACAAAGGAGCCGCUGGCAGGCUCAUUGGCACACGCGAUACAUAUAUAUAUAUAUAUCCGUCCACGCUGCUUUUUGCUGUUGCUGUUCCCCACCUACACACACACAUACACCACACGCGAUCCUUCGCUAAGCUCCACAACGAUACUCUCCCCCUCCAUCCAUAUCCACCUCGCUGCUCCUGUUUAAAGACGAUCAUUACCCCUCCGCUGCCAGGUGCACAUACUACAUCCGGCACACUGCCCACCAAGGCAGGUAAGUGCCCCAGGGCAUCGGCAGCUAUCCGUACACAUGCACCUGCAGAGCUCUCGUCUGUCCAGCGGUGCGACGGCACCGAAGCAGCUUCACCGUGACGUGCCUUCACCUGGUCGCCCUGUCAAAACAAGGAUGCGCUGCCGUUUUGCAGUGCUGAAGUAUUUCCUCCUGCGUGUCGAUGUCUCCGUGUCUAUCGUCUACCUCCUCAUACUCCUCUGCGUCGCCGUGCCCAUUGUCGUCGUGUCGCAGGUCUACCUCACGCGCAUGCUGGUCGCCUCGUGGCGUACCGUGCACAACACGCGCGUGUACUACAUCACGGAGCGCAUCUCCAUCAGCACCAUAAGCGUGCGCGACAUCGCGAACGGCUUCAUGGCACUCAACAUACCGGGUGGGGGCAGCUACGGCGACCACGACCUCAUGGAGAACCUCUGCUCCUCGCUCGACAACUACGACAAGCUGACGCGCUUCCGCGCACUCUCUUUGGUGUCUCUCGAGACCGAGAGCGCCAUAAGCUGUAUCCAUGGCAUUCCCACCAUGGACUCCAUGCGCACCCUUACCGGCUACUUCUCGCACGACAACAUUAUCAACGGCACCUAUCUCAUCGAUAGCGAGACGUACGACUUCGUGCAACCACCGCAGAUGGUGACGGAGUGGCCGGAGUCGGCGCGUGACAUCUCCGCUGCCAAGACGACAACGUACAGCGGCGUGCCCAUCCUUGAGCUGCUGCCUGCCUACCUCGAUGGCAGUGUCGACAGCGUCGACUCGCGCCACCACUGGAUCCUCCCCACAAUCAUGCCGCACAUCAUCUGCUACAUCCUCCCGGUCGGCUACCUCGCCCGCGGUCGAACGGAUAUAAGCAGCGUGCGCUACACCGACUUCACGCAGGUGCUACUCGACGGCUCCCGCAUGCUGCUGGACUACGACUUUGUGGAGGCGCCGGGGCUCGCCAUGGCCGCCUUCAUCAACCAGAGCCUCGCCGACGAUGAUCCGCUCGUGCUCUCCAACAGCUGGGGUCAACCCUCCGUCAGUAACGACAGCAUCUACUCCAUUUUCACGACAGUGCCAGUGACCUACCUUAAGGCGAGCAACAUCAGUGACCCGCUCAUGCGCGCCGCCCUGCAGCACGUCGACCUCGCGGCACUGCAGCACGAGGGCUACAGACGCUCCGUCGACUUCGAGUACGCCGGCGCCGCCGCUGUCGUCACAGCGUAUGCGUACACCACCGCGCAGGGUCUCGUUGUGCCAUUGGUGGUCGCCAGCAGCCACGCCGCCAUCACGACACCUUACCUGUUCCUCAUGCGCAUCUUUGACGGCAUCUUAGUCGCCGUGAUCCUCUUGCUCACUGGGGCCUCCUUCAACAGUGCGCGCUGCCUGAUCUCGCAGCCGCUGCGGCGCAUAACGGCGCUCAUGCUGGCGAGUAUGAGUGCUGGUCGGCGCGCGCUCUUCUACACCACAACUAGCAACACGCUGCUUCAAUUAACAGAGGUGCACGCGCUCAUCAAGGCACACAAUGCCGCGAUGCAGCAGCUGCGCGAGAUCGACGCCUUCGUGCCUGAUGAACUACGUGCCGAGGGCAGAGCACAACGCGCCUACAGCAGCGUAUCCAAUAUAGCGUCCUCCAUGGGCAUCUCAAACGGCCGCAAAGUCACGAAAUUCGGAAGUCGCUGUCUUGACACGCACCUCUCCACAGCUGUGUUUGUGACCAUUCGAGCUCCAGCAGCGCUCUCCAGCAGUUCAGCAGUCCUGCCGCGAACCCCGUCACCACCUCCCAUCCUAGCCGAACAGGGCGAGCAAAAGCCCCUGCGCGGCCAGCGCCUGGUGAGCGUUGUAAAGCACGCAGCACAGGCAGCGAACACCGCCAACAGCGGCCCCUUCCCCACACCAGCCGCACUGACAGCAUUCAUCACCGCCGUGCACGAGCUGUGCCACACGCACCACGGCACGCUGCAUCGCCUCUGCCCCGACGCGUGCGUGCUGCACUUCAACAGCGCGGUGCGCGCACACCUCCCGCGUGGGCCUGGAGACGCUAGCGCGGCGGCGGCACCAGCAGCGGCGCCCCCUGCACCCGCUGCGCGGCAUGGUGUCCCCGCUGCACAGUCGGCACCGCAGCCGAGGCCACCGCGUGCCACGCGGCAGGAAGAGAUGAGGCUCCGCGCCGCGCAGGACGCACGCAACGCCGCUGCCUUCGCACUGGACCUGGUGAACUGGACUGCCGCGCAGAGCGGCAGCGGCGAAAACGCACAAAGGGACGGCACGGCGGCCAUGCCUGACGUGCGCGCGCUGCUGGACACGAGCAUGUUCACGUGCGGGCAGUACCGCCCCGCCGGCAGCGAGCAGACGCUGCAGGUGGCGCUUGGCCGCGACGUGCAGCGCGAUCUGGGCCGCGUGCCGCAGCGCAUCGGCGUGCGCGUGGCCAUGACGGAGGAGACGGCGACGCUGCUGCGCGCGGAGGACGAUAGCGGCAGCCGGGGCCGCGGCAAUAUGGACGCCGGCGUGCGGCAGAUCCCGGUGGAUGUGCUGCGCACGGGCCGUGCGGGGCUGGACGGCGAUGUGGUGGUGCUGUACGAGGCUCUGCCCGGGCGCGUGGCCGGCGACGCGGCGUGGCAGCUGUACGCACGCUGCUGCUGCGGCGGCUUCGAGCACAUGCUGCGCGGCGACUACGCUGGCGCGCUGGCCGCCUACCGCGGCGUCGCCGAGAUCGCGGACCUGGAGCCCGGGCUGCUGCCGGCAGCCAUGCGUCGCGAGGCGGCUGCCAGCGCCGUGACGGGUGGUGCCGUGUCGGUGCAGGUGGCGCGGCUGAUGCGCGAGUGCGAGCGCCGCGUGCGACUGCGGAUCACGGAGCCGCUGUGCACUGCCAUCUCCAGUCUCCUCGGUGUCGAUCAGGUGCUGAGUAAGUGGGCCCUUGAAGAUGUGCCGGAAGGCAGUCAUCCCGAUUGCGCACAGGAGGCACUAGUGGAAGCGGAGAAAAGCAUCGCGGAUGGGCGACUGAGGCGGAGCUCUAGGAGGAGCGCGCAGAGCUUCGGAGAACUCGCGAAGUAUCCAGAGGUCCGCCACCGUUGCGUCGUGCACUUUCAGGAGAGGCAGGUUACUCUCCGGUGCGUGCUGCCCUCGGCGCCCAGGUGGAUUCGUGACCAUAUCGGGUUGUGCUGGCAUCUUUCCCGCAGCCAUGGAACCGAUGAAGCGACCCCAGUCUGGAGCGGCAUGCAGAUGGCCCUUGGCUCCGCCGGCUUCAUCGCAUCCGUGAGCUUUUCUACAUUCCGCGAUCUUCAUCCGGUCGUGGCGAAAGCCAUUCGCGAUGCACCACCGGGUCCUAUGUCGGACGCACUGCGCAGCGCCACGCCUGUAUGUGGUCCCUCUCCAGAACAGGAGGCGUUCAUGAAAGCCACCCUUCUCAAGCACCAGCACCUCCGCCAUCCCAACAUUGUCUCCCUUAUCGGCUACUCGCACUCGCUCGAGGGAGGGGUGGUGCUGAUCUGGGAGUUCAGCCCCGGUGGCACGCUGCGAGAACUGCUGAAUCGGUACGGACGGCUGCCGGCAAUAACAACAAUUCGGUUUGGGCUGCACGCCUUGUCUGCGCUGUCUUUCCUUCACGAGAACAACAUCGCUCACGGCAACCUCAACCUUGACACUGUCAUGGUCGAUUCGGACGGAAGCUGUCGCUUAGUGGGUCUGUACACGCAUGAGCGGCUUCCCUUCGCGCUUCCUCAGACCCACUACAUAAGCCCCCUGAUGGCCACUGGUGCGCUGCCAACGCCCGCCUGCGAUGUGUUCUGCUACGGUCUCGGGGCUCUAGAAGGGCUCACUCUGCAGCCCUGCUGGAGGUGGGCAACGAAGGAAGACGGAGAGCCAUACGGCGCCGCCUCGGAGUUGCUGGACCUCAUGAAGAACGGUGGGCACGCGUUCUGUGAUGCGGUGGUGCAGGGACGCGUGGUGGCGAAUGCAGAAGCGUUUGACACGCCGCUGUUCGCCGAGAAAUACAGUGAGCUUGCACGGAGCACGCUGCGCAGCUGCGUCUCCCACACCCCAUCCGAUCGGCCGACGGCGGUGGAGGUACGCAAUAUCGUCAAGAUACUUCUUAGCGAAGGUGGGCUGGCCUGCGAAGAGGACGAGGUCUGAGAAACGGUGGAAGAUCCUUUUCGCUCUUCUCCCUCGCACCCCUUGGCGAGCACCGUACAAGGUCAACUGGCUCGGUUCUCGUUCAGUCUGUAUCGGUGUGUGUGGGUGUGUGGGUGUUUUCGAACUUCUGAUGAUCAGGAUGGCGAACGGGAAUGCCACUGGCACUGUUCUUUGUCGCCGCGUUCCACGUGCUGUUUACCGGGGGGAGAGCCUCCCGCACAGUGAUGCAUCGCCCUUACUCUUUUCUCUGUUUGGUCUUCGCUGCUCAGCCCCCCUCCCUACGCCCGCGCUGAUGUCUGAACUAGCGCAUGUCUAGCCUUCUGCAUGCCCGAGCGCUUGCCCGUGCUUUUUGAUGCUGUGUUAUGAGUGUUCUCUUGUGGCUCAUUGUGUUUGUUUCGCUGCGUGUUGUCGCUGCUGCUGCUGCCUGAAAAGUACGAGGCGGAGACGCAGCAGCGCGGGUGGGAGCGGGUGCUCUUGGAUGCGCAGAGAAUGGGGAUGGGGAUGAGAAAGUUGAGGAGGAAAGGCAGCUGUAUACAUUCCGGAAAAUGUUUCCUCUGUACUAGUCCCCCCCCCUCUGCCUCUGUCGCUCUUCGUUGAUCUCGGCAGCGCGGCUUGGCUGCUACCCGUACGAGCAGCGCCUUGCGUGUCCUUUGGUCUUUCAACCCCAUCCCUUCUUUCCGUUCCGGCGCAUCUUUGGACUGGAUUGGACUCGGUCACACCAACAUACAUCGAUGCAAGCGCGCAGGAAGGCUGAGCUGCCCCCCCUCUGUGCCUACUCUAGUGAUCCCUUUGUUUCUUCUCCUUUUUGCUGUUUGUUUGUUUGAGUCUUCGCCCGGCUUGGUGCCACAUUCCCUGAUGUGUGUGACACCUCUGUUGUACCUCUCUCUGGCGUGGCGUACAUAUACCCCUCUGGUCGGCAUUGUGCAUCCUCCCUUGCGCGCGCGAACGCUCACACAGAGACGCCCGGGAACGUAGGAUGGUGGUCUGGAUGCACGCCUCUUACGCGUCUAUCUCUCUUCUUGCACACCGCGUGUGGUCCUCGUUUCAUCUGUGUUCAAGUGUGCUAGCUGCUCAGCUCAUGUCGACCGUCGGCAGGCAUGCCUUCCACCUUCCCCUCUCUUCUCGUCUCCGAUAUAUACAUAUAUAUAUAUAUGUGCAUAUAUGCCUGGUCAACGUAUUCUCCCUUCGCGUUUCGAUUUUACCCACGUCCCCACCCUCCCCCACACCCCUUCUCUCUCUCGUUUUGCGUUUUUGUGUUAGCGUUGUCGUUGUGACUCAUUUGCCUCCGACUUGCGGCCGCGUCCACUGCACUUGUUCUACUGUGUGCCUCCGCCUUUGAAUAGCUUCCGGCGGCAUCGUGGCAGUGUGUUCCCACCGGACGCGACGGCCCCAGCCUUAGUUUCUUCUAUAACAUCCACAAACCCCUCUCUACACGCCGUUCAGCAUUCCGAAGAUGCGACUUCUGUUUACAACUUCCCACCCCCACUCCCUUCCCCCUUUUAUGUGUGAACCCUUUUUUUCUGAUUCUUCUCCAUCGGUGGUUGCCCCACAUCACUGUAUUCUUCUGCAUUCCGCUUCUCCACCUCUUCAUGAUGUGUGCGCAUUUUUUACCCCCCCCCCUCACACCCUCCUUGUCUUCUCCUGUCGACCGAAGUAUGUACCGUCGGCAAACGUUCGCGACGCCUAAAGGACCACCCUCCUCCCUCAUCAUCCCCUUCCUUCUCUUGCCUGUAUGAGUGGACCCCGCGAAUGUGUUUCUGAGCCCAUCAGCACAUAAGCAUACACAUUUUUCUUUCUGCUCUUCACAAGCGCAUUGCUCUGCUGCGGCACUCGCGCACAAGGCGAAAAAAAAAAGGGGGCGUUGAGGUUUUGCAAGUAAAGGGUUCUUUGAGGAGCGCACUGAAUAUGCUCCAUUAUGUUGGCCUACGCCCCCCUCCCAUCCGCGCGUCCAACUCUUCUUUGCUUCUCAUUUCUCUGUGCUGACCUUCACUCG